rfam:Pan troglodytes isolate Yerkes chimp pedigree #C0471 (Clint) chromosome 16, whole genome shotgun sequence.
GCUGGGUGUGGUAGUGGGCACCUGUAAUCCCAGCUACUUGGGAGGCUGAGGCAGAAGAAUUGCUUGAACCCGGGAGACAGAGGUUGCAGUGAGCUGAGAUCAUGCCACUGCACUCUAGCCUGGGAGAUAGAGCGAGACUCUGUCUCAG